rnacentral:rRNA from 1 species
CCUACGUGAGGCAGCAGUGAGGAAUAUUGGUCAAUGGGCGCGAGCCUGAACCAGCCAAGUAGCGUGAAGGAUGACUGCCCUACGGGUUGUAAACUUCUUUUUUAAAGGAAUAAAGUGAGGCACGUGUGCCUUUUUGUCUGUACUUUAUGAUUAAGGAUCGGCUAACUCCGUGCCAGCGGCCGCGGUAAUACGGAGGAUCCGAGCGUUAUCCGGAUUUAUUGGGUUUAAAGGCAGCGGAGAUGGGUUAUUAAGGCAGGUGUGAAAGUUUGCGGCUCAAACGUAAGAUUGCAAUUGAUACUGGCUGUCUUGAGUACAGUUGAGGUAGGCGGAAUUCGUGGUGUAGCGGUGAAAUGCUUAGAUAUCACGAAGAACUCCGAUUGCGAAGGCAGCUUACUAAACUGCCACUGACAUUGAUGCUCGAAAGUGUGGGUAUCAAACAGGAUUAGAUACCCUUGUAGUC